rnacentral:rRNA from 2 species
AUUGAACGCUGGCGGCAUGCCUUACACAUGCAAGUCGAACGGCAGCACGGGAGCAAUCCUGGUGGCGAGUGGCGAACGGGUGAGUAAUAUAUCGGAACGUGCCCAGUCGUGGGGGAUAACGCAGCGAAAGUUGUGCUAAUACCGCAUACGAUCUAUGGAUGAAAGCGGGGGAUCGCAAGACCUCGCGCGAUUGGAGCGGCCGAUAUCAGAUUAGGUUGUUGGUGAGGUAAAAGCUCACCAAGCCUGCGAUCUGUAGCUGGUCUGAGAGGACGACCAGCCACACUGGAACUGAGACACGGUCCAGACUCCUACGGGAGGCAGCAGUGGGGAAUUUUGGACAAUGGACGAAAGUCUGAUCCAGCAAUGCCGCGUGCAGGACGAAGGCCUUCGGGUUGUAAACUGCUUUUGUACAGAACGAAAAAGUCUUUAAUAACACUAGAGGCUCAUGACGGUACUGUAAGAAUAAGCACCGGCUAACUACGUG